rnacentral:rRNA from 1 species
GUGAAAUGUUUUUUUAUAUUGACCCUGGGUGGUUGAUGGUUUCGGCUAUCUUCUGCCCACAGUGUAUAUGGUUGGCCUGCUCUUUUCGUUCAUAGAGCCAAUUGUAUGUUCUGGGUAACCAGAAACACUGCGAGAUCAAGGGAGCCGUAUUAGCUCUUAUCUAUGAGGCGAAAAAAAUUGAAUAGAAAUGAAUUAAUUUAUCUGAGUGAAAUAAUAAAAAAGUUUAAAACAACUUUCAACAAUGGAUCUCUAGGUUCUCGCAUCGAUGAAGAACGUAGCAAAUUGCGAUAACUAGUGUGAAUUGCAUUUUCAGUGAAUCAUCGAGUCUUUGAACGCAUCUUGCACUCUAGGGCAUUCCCUAGAGUACGCCUGUUUCAGUAACAGAAAGACCCCUCGUCCUAAAAUUUUUUUUUGGGCGGAUUUGACUAGUUGGGUACGCCAUUUUAUGGAUGAAUUCAAUUCAAGUCUAAUAAUUGAUGACUUAUAUUGACUAUAAGCUUGAUUUACAGGUAUCAACUUGUAUCUUUUUGAUAUCAUUAGGAUAUAAGGCCUUGGAUUAGGUUGUUCAGUAUGCGAGUCUAAACCACUCUAUACCGUAAAAAAGUAUAUACCUUCACAUUUGUUCUGAAAUCAGGUGGGAUUACCCGCUGAACUUAAGCAUA